rnacentral:rRNA from 1 species
AUGAACGCUGGCGGCGUGCCUAAUACAUGCCAGUCGAGCGAACGGACGAGAAGCUUGCUUCUCUGAUGUUAGCGGCGGACGGGUGAGUAACACGUGGAUAACCUACCUAUAAGACUGGGAUAACUUCGGGAAACCGGAGCUAAUACCGGAUAAUAUUUUGAACCGCAUGGUUCAAAAGUGAAAGACGGUCUUGCUGUCACUUAUAGAUGGAUCCGCGCUGCAUUAGCUAGUUGGUAAGGUAACGGCUUACCAAGGCAACGAUGCAUAGCCGACCUGAGAGGGUGAUCGGCCACACUGGAACUGAGACACGGUCCAGACUCCUACGGGAGGCAGCAGUAGGGAAUCUUCCGCAAUGGGCGAAAGCCUGACGGAGCAACGCCGCGUGAGUGAUGAAGGUCCUCGGAUCGUAAAACUCUGUUAUUAGGGAAGAACAUAUGUGUAAGUAACUGUGCACAUCUUGACGGUACCUAAUCAGAAAGCCACGGCUAACUACGUG